rnacentral:lncRNA from 1 species
GCCAUAACUUCUACUUGAUUUCAAAAAUUUUCGAGAAGUUCUCCGAGUUUGAAUACAUUUCUUUGACCACAUCCUAAAUGUAUCUUGUAGUUGGGAGAAAUAGGUAUGUUUUCUCGAUAGCAGGUUUCAUGGAAUUGACAAGCCAGGCAAUCACCAUCGAAUUCUCCGACUUGCACUUCUGAAGGAGAGCCGCGUUGUUUGAGGCCGACAUCUUGGUUUCGCCAGUCAGGUGUCCCAGUUUCCCUUUUUCGUCGAUUAUUAGUUUUAUCGACUGCGCCCAUUCUCUGCAGUUUCUGCCAUUCAAUUUCUCUAUCGAGAGUUGGAAAGCUGAAUUUUCGAUCCCCUUUGUAUUCAUGGUAGAGAUGGUUUCUACCUCUGAAUCAGAGAUUAUGGAGUCCUUAUCUAUCAUGGCUGAUUCAGUCAUGUAUUGGCUAGGUUAGAAACAAACCUGCUCUGAUAUCAUGUGGGAAAACUAAUUUCAUUAAUUUCUGAUAAUUGAUACAAUAAGGAAUACAAUUUAUAAUAGACUGAAAUUUGUAAAUAAGGAAAAUUCUAAUCUCCUAAAUACAUUGGGAAAUAAUUAUAUAUUCUAUACUACAAUAAUUAUGGAACGUAAAAUAUUUUCAAAUCAAUUUUGGCUCCCAUCCUUAUUUGGU